UACGUAGGCAGCAAGCGUUGUUCGGAGUUACUGGGCGUAAAGGGUGUGUAGGCGGUUCUUUAAGUUCGCUGUGAAAUCUCCCGGCUCAACUGGGAGGGUGCGGCGGAAACUAGAGUGCUCGAGUGUGGGAGAGGUAAGCGGAAUUCCUGGUGUAGCGGUGAAAUGCGUAGAUAUCAGGAGGAACACCUGCGGUGUAGACAGCUUACUGGACCACGACUGACGCUGAGACACGAAAGCGUGGGUAGCAAACAGG
rnacentral:rRNA from 1 species